AGUGAACGCUGGCGGUAGGCCUAACACAUGCAAGUCGAACGGCAGCACAGUAAGAGCUUGCUCUUACGGGUGGCGAGUGGCGGACGGGUGAGGAAUACAUCGGAAUCUACUUUUUCGUGGGGGAUAACGUAGGGAAGCUUACGCUAAUACCGCAUACGACCUACGGGUGAAAGCAGGGGAUCUUCGGACCUUGCGCGAUUGAAUGAGCCGAUGUCGGAUUAGCUAGUUGGCGGGGUAAAGGCCCACCAAGGCGACGAUCCGUAGCUGGUCUGAGAGGAUGAUCAGCCACACUGGAACUGAGACACGGUCCAGACUCCUACGGGAGGCAGCAGUGGGGAAUAUUGGACAAUGGGCGCAAGCCUGAUCCAGCCAUACCGCGUGGGUGAAGAAGGCCUUCGGGUUGUAAAGCCCUUUUGUUGGGAAAGAAAAGCAGCAGGUUAAUACCCCGCCGUUCUGACAGUACCCAAAGAAUAAGCACCGGCUAACUUCGUG
rnacentral:rRNA from 1 species